GAAACGGCCCUACCCUUAUCUCCCUUCACUGACUCUCUUUUCAGACUCAGCCUGCCUGCACCCAGGACUCCACUGGAAAUCGGACUGUUCAACUCACCUGGCAGCCACUCCCAGAGCCCCUGGAACUCUGGCCCAAGGCUCUCUGACUGACUCCUUCUUGGCUUAGCGGCUGAAGACUGAUGCUGCCUGAUCGCCUCGGAAGCCCCGUAGACCAUCACGGAUGCCGAGCUUUAGGUAACUCUCACAGCGGAAGUGUCUUUAUGAGAAGGGGAAAUUAGAAGGUAGACACACGCAGAGAAAAGACCAUGUGAAGACACGGGAGAAGACCGCCAUGCACUACCCAAGGAAAGAGACCUCAGAAGAUACCAACCUUGAUGAUCUUGAACUUCUAGAUCACACUCUGCAGCAAGAAGGCUAAAAUGAAACAAUAACUUGUCUGGCUGAUUAGAUUUCCUUGGAGGUGAACUUUCACAAAUAGCCAAAAAUGUUUGCAAGUAAAGAGUAUAACUGGGCUUUUAAAUAACUCCUCUAAAAUCAAAAUGAAGAACAAAAGCUUCCUUCCUUUCAGAAAGUAAUCUGCAACCACUCUCAUGCAUUUGUGUGCUUUUUAAAAAAAAUAUUGAGGAUGGAAGGGAAGCAUGGUACAUGCAUAGAAUUACACAAUUUUAAUGACUUGAGCCCAAAAGACAGUAACAAAACAGAAGAAUUGGCAACUCCAUAGAGACUGCAUUUCAUAACUGGAAUUCGUCACCUAUGGAAGCAGACAACAGAGGAUAAUUAAAUGAAUGAUCACAUAAAAUGAACUGAAGUCACUGAACACUUAAACAGCUAUCGCAUGUUAAUCAUAAUUUGUAUCAGCUCUCAUUCUUUGAUCUUGGGAUGACUUUCUUCUGCAUAAUAAUGAGGUUAUAUUACUUGUGUUGACAUCAUUUAAAGAAGUGAAUACAGUAGACUGCAACUGGAUUUGAAUCUAGAUUUUUUUCUUCAACACAGUCAUCUAGCUUUAAGAAAUCAUUUAAAAGGUUGAAUGUGAAACAGCUCUGACCAUUGUAAGAGUAAACAUAAAAUGUACAAAGAAUUAUUUUAAUGGUUUGAUUAUCUGUACUUUAGAGAUAGUUAUUAUAUCCCAUCUUUGAUUUGUGCAUGUUCACUUAACUCCCUUUAAAUGUCUCGACCACAGCUCAUGUUACUUUACUAUCAUUUUUGGGUAAUAUUUUUACUUCUCUGGAGUUUUAACCAUUUUAAUGACAAAAAGUUCACAUAUGUAUGAAAGCAAUUAAAUAUAUUAGAUUUGUAAGAACUUACAAAUAUGCAGUACUUACAUAUUACAAAUAAUGCAGUAAUUUGUUAUGACAUUUUGAGAGAAAUACACUGUCAUCAUGCUUAAUUUGAUAAGGAAAGUGAAAGUUGUCUUAUAUCAUCACAAUUAAAUAAUGUUGCUUAAAGUUGUAAAUAUGUGACAUUGGAAAAGUAACUGAUGAAAGGUAUAAAUGAUUACAUAAAUAUGCAUGUAUUUUAUAAACAAUAAAAACUAAUUUUAUGCACAAA
ensembl:lncRNA novel transcript